AUUGCCUCUAGAGUCAUUACAUGUGUGGCUGCUGAGUCACAUGUAUAUUAGUAGGUAGCAGAAAGAAGAAAGGGUACAUCUGUGAUGAGUAAGUUGACCUAUGGUCAUCUAAAUGAUUAAUAGCCUAACUUU